CAGUCGCCACGGUAAUACGUAGGGUGCGAGCGUUAAUCGGAAUUACUGGGCGUAAAGCGUGCGCAGGCGGUUGUGUAAGACAGGUGUGAAAUCCCCGGGCUUAACCUGGGAACUGCGCUUGUGACUGCACAGCUAGAGUAUGGCAGAGGGGGGUGGAAUUCCACGUGUAGCAGUGAAAUGCGUAGAGAUGUGGAGGAACACCGAUGGCGAAGGCAGCCCCCUGGGCCAAUACUGACGCUCAUGCACGAAAGCGUGGGGAGCAAACAGGAUUAGAUACCCGAGUAGUCCCUGUCUCUUAUAA
rnacentral:rRNA from 1 species